rnacentral:ribozyme from 13 species
AGAAAGCAAAAAGAAGAGAAAAAGAGAGAGAUCGAAAAGAGAGAGGACAGGGAGAAAAGAAAGGAUUUUUUUUCUUUUGCUCAAAAACCCUUUCUUUCUUCUUCUUUCUUUCUU